rnacentral:rRNA from 1 species
CCUACGGGUGGCAGCAGUGGGGAAUAUUGGACAAUGGGGGCAACCCUGAUCCAGCCAUGCCGCGUGUGUGAAGAAGGCCCUCGGGUUGUAAAGCACUUUCAGUGAGGAAGAACGCCUGGUGGUUAAUACCCAUCAGGAAAGACAUCACUCACAGAAGAAGCACCGGCUAACUCCGUGCCAGCAGCCGCGGUAAUACGGAGGGUGCGAGCGUUAAUCGGAAUUACUGGGCGUAAAGCGCGCGUAGGUGGCUUGAUAAGCCGGUUGUGAAAGCCCCGGGCUCAACCUGGGAACGGCAUCCGGAACUGUCAAGCUAGAGUGCAGGAGAGGAAGGUAGAAUUCCCGGUGUAGAGGUGAAAUGCGUAGAGAUCGGGAGGAAUACCAGUGGUGAAGGCGGCCUUCUGGACUGACACUGACACUGAGGUGCGAAAGCGUGGGUAGCAAACAGGAUUAGAUACCCUUGUAGUC